CCCUCGCCCGACAAAUCGCCAUCGAAGCUCACAAACAGAGACGUUUUUUUCGAAAGGCGUCUCGGUCCUCUGGAUCAACAGCGCUUUGGGAGAAAGUCCCCGGACACACGUUAUUCUUCCCCUUUCGGGGGGAGGAACAAAAACGCCGCGGAAACGCGCCGCCAUAGAAGCACAGCGGCUGACCUCCAAGACCUGCGCUCGGACGUAAUGGCCUCUCUGUUCACGCCCCGCCCCGUCGCUACAUCGUUGGUGCUCUGCCCCCCUCGGGACCCGAGUAUGCCUUGUCCUGGGACCAUUUGGAUGAAGAUAUGAGUCCGCGCCUGGGAUGGGGGGGACUCGGUGCGCUCGUGUGGGCCAGGUGCCUUCGAUGACGAGGUGGCCGCGUGGGAGAGGUCGCUUGCCGGGCGAAUUCAAGGGUUCGUCGGAGGGUCUUUCGUCGAGAUCGAUAGGUAUGCGAUUGCGCGCUCUCCCCUUCACCGGGGAGCGCGUGUUACUCGAUGGGGCUUAUUCUCGGUGCAAGG
rnacentral:RNase_MRP_RNA from 1 species